rnacentral:rRNA from 1 species
GUGUCAGCCGCCGCGGUAAUACGUAGGUGACGAGCGUUAUCCGGAAUUACUGGGCGUAAAGCGCACGCAAGCGGUCUGACAAGUCUGGCGUGAAAUCCCCUGGCUUAACCAGGGGCGGUCGCUGGAAACGGUCAGGCUUGAGGCGAUGAGAGGGGUGCAGAAUUCCCGGUGUAGUGGUGGAAUGCGUAGAGAUCGGGAGGAAUACCAGUGGCGAAAGCGGCACCCUGGCGUCGUACUGACGCACAUGUGCGAAAGCGUGGGGAGCGAACGGGAUUAGAAACCCGUGUAGUCC